CACACUGCCCGGUAGCUAAAUGCGGAAGAGAUAAGUGCUGAAAGCAUCUAAGCACGAAACUUGCCCCGAGAUGAGUUCUCCCUGAGACUUAGAGUCUCCUGAAGGAACGUUGAAGACGACGACGUUGAUAGGCCGGGUGUGUAAGCGCAGCGAUGCGUUGAGCUAACCGGUACUAAUGAACCGUGAGGCUUAACCUU
rnacentral:rRNA from 1 species